GUUAAAAGUAUUCUGCAAGUAAAAGAUUGUUUAUUCACCAUUUCUAUCUUUAUUCUUUAACCAUGAGAUCUGCUACCUGGUGUAUAGUUUUAUGUGUUCUCAUCUUUCUCGUAAUCAGCGAUGGUAAAAAAGAUAAAGACUAUGUUCCAGAAAAAUUUUGUCCGAGAUUAGAAGAUAUCGAAGGAAACUGCAAAGAUGAUGGACUGAAAGUGUGUGCGAAGUUUAUGACGACAACUUAUAAGAUUAAUUAUUUUAAUUGCACAUGUGACAACAUCAACAUGUUACGUAAAAUCAAGCGUUACUGCUAUUGUCAGUCACUAUGUGCAGACCAACCUCCACCUUCACCGAUCCAGCCUCAUUGAAUAACAUCUCUCAAGUCCUUACUAAUAACAAAAGAGAAGUUGUGAGAGUUUGUAGUGCGGAGAUCACACACAAAUAAGUUUGUUAGUCACCAAUCUUUCUUUUGUAAUAAUAAAGUCAUGAGGAUAUUUUAUAACUAGUAUGAGUUUCUCAAUCAA